GGGGAUAAAGCUCAGUGGUAGAGCGCACACUUGGCGUGCACAAGGCCCUGGGUUCAAUCCCCAGUGCCUCUG
rnacentral:tRNA from 1 species